GGCAGCAGCAAGCUGAUUAUACAGGGAAAAGCUUCCAUCUAAAUACACAUAGCAUAGCAAUCACGCUUGGAAAAACUACAUGGCUUACCAAAAGAGUUCUCUCUGUUCACUGUCCAUUAUAUGUUGACUGUAGUAGUUCAAGUGAAUAACAAGUAAUGAUCAAAUUACCAGCUUAUAUUUAGCCACAGGGCCUUCUUAUCUUUAAAAAAAAAUGCAAGGAGAGAGUACAAAAAUGUAAUACAUUUAUUUUGCUCUCUUUCUUGCUUCCUCCCCUGAAAUUAUUACUAUGCCAUUAGAAGUCACACACACACACACACACACACACACACACACACACGCAAGCAGGUGCGUGCGUGCACGCACACAGACACACACACGCUUCAUUGAAAACCAUGCAUGUAGCCAAUAGCUAGGCAACCUGUAGGUAUAAACAAAGAUAUCAGGCAUAUUUUUAAAACAAUUUUGCUUAAGGAAAUUGCUUAAGAAGGAAGAUGUUACAUCUGCAGGCUACUACCUUCAAAGUCACAGAAGGAAAAGUUGAACAUUUGGCCAAAAGGAUAGUAGCUCAGCUUUCUACUUGUUCUUUUUUAGCAUGAAAUAUUCAAAAGAGCAUAAACCAAACGGAAGAGCAUAACUAUAUGACAUCAUAAGAAACCCUGAAUUAGAAAUGUGUAUUUAUAUUUAAAAAGCCAUGUAUUCCCAGGCUUUCUAUGGUUUAACAACCUAGAGGCAGAGACCAUCUUCUCCCCCUCACCCCUUCUUUCAUGACAUCAGCCGGGCUGAGUAUCAUUCCAGGAUGAUCAUGAAUUCGCUGGGCAUACUGUUUAGAUUAGCUAGUAUUUAUGUGUUUAUGUUAAACCAGGCAUCAUAAGACUGGCACUAUUUUGUCAUAUUUCAGAUAGAAAAUUCAGAUAUGAACUCUUCAGAAUUCAGUAAAUCUUUGCUUUUAAAUCUAUUUUUGCUUUUGAAAUGAUCAAACCAUAGAGUAAUAAUUGCAUC
rnacentral:lncRNA from 1 species